AAGAAGAUACCAAAGGCGCACGGCGGAUGCCUUGGCGCGGGAAGUCGACGAAGGACGCGGCAAGCUGCGAUAAGCUCGGGGGAGGGGCAAACACCCGCCGAUCCCGAGGUCUCCGAAUGGGGGAACCCAGCGGGGGUCAUGCCCCGCUACUCCGGCCCGAACCCAUAGGGCCGGCAGAGGCAACCGGGGGAACUGAAACAUCUAAGUACCCCGAGGAAGAGAAAUCAACCGAGAUCCCGGGAGUAGCGGCGAGCGAAACCGGGCCAGCGCAAACCUGGACGAGCGUUAAAGCCUUGGGGCGUUGCCGUCGCAGGGGUUGCGGGACCGCCCGCACGGGGAGCCCAAGCUCCCCGACCGAGUUACAAACCGCGCAUGCAGCGGAACGGCCUGGGAAGGCCGGCGGAACAGGGUGAGAGCCCCGUACGCGUAGCAUGGGCGGCUCGGAAGGCGGCUCCCGAGUAGCGCCGGGCACGUGAAACCCGGUGCGAAGCAGGGGGGACCACCCUCCAACGCUGAACACUCUCCCGCGACCGAUAGCGAACCAGUACCGUGAGGGAAAGGUGAAAAGCACCCCGAGAGGGGAGUGAAACAGCGCCUGAAACCGUGCGCCCGCAAGCAGUCGGAGCACCCAUGCGGUGUGACGGCGUGCCUUUUGUAGAAUGAGCCAGCGAGUCGCGGCAUGCGGCGAGGUUAAGCUUGGAAGCGAGCCGCAGCGAAAGCGAGCCUUUAAGACGGCGAGUGAGUCGCAUGCCGCGGACGCGAAGCCGGGUGAGCUAUCCUUGGGCAGGCUGAAGCGGGGGUAAGACCCCGUGGAGGGCCGAACCCACUUCGGUUGAAAACGGAGGGGAUGACCCGAGGAUAGGGGUGAAAGGCCAAUCAAACCCGGAGAUAUCUCGUUCUCCCCGAAAUAGCUUUAGGGCUAGCCCCGGCCGUUCUCC
rnacentral:rRNA from 1 species